rnacentral:misc_RNA from 1 species
UGGUACCGAGCACAGUAACAUUAGAGACGUAAAUACAUGAACUUUCUGUCGCUCCAGCAUGAAGUUCAAAAUAAGGAAAAUGGUUAAAUAUCUUGGAGUUGUGUUGUUCGUAUCCUGCAUUGGGAUCAUCGUCUUCCUUUACGAACCGGAGGAACCCCGUGUGCCACACCGACAACACAUGUUAGAGUUAUUUAAACACAUGCAGAACCGAUCUCGGAACUCCUCCCAUCUCUGGGGAUACCGCCCUGAAGAAGUAACAUUCCAGAGAACGGUAUGGUAUCUGGCACAUGCUCGCUACAAUGUGACCUUGUGGCGCGAUCUUGAUCUCAUGAAACUGCAAGUACCACGGCCUCUGUUGGAGUUUACCAGCCACUGUUGGUGGGUGCACAACGUCACACCGAACCACUGCCCUUGGGCCAUGGAGCCAAGCAGGGGACCCAUGGCGGAGAUGGGGGAGACUGGGGUGCUGCGUUGCCUCCCCUCCUUUUACAUCAUAGGGCAGGGCGAGAGUGGGACCACCGACCUGUUCAACAAACUGACAAGACACCCCCACGUUGCCCCCCACACUAUGACGGAGACAGAAUGGUUGUCCCGAACACGACUAAUCGAAUCCUGUUCCUCCUUCGAGACGCAUCUGAAUCUGCUGCAGAUCAGCGCCAACUUCAUACAGAGAAACUACAAACAGAGUGUGGACCCUUACAUCACCGGAGAUGCCACGCCAGGAUAUUUCUCCUAUAACGACUUUUGGGAUAUGUUGCCUGGCAACGAAGGGUGUACCGAACCAUGUGUGACCAAUGCUGACAUCAUCCAUCAUCUGAACCCUGGGGCCAAGAUCAUCCUGUCACUCAGGAACCCCACAGACAGACUCUACUCCUAUUACAUCUCUAAGUCGGCUAAAUUAGGAAGGGUGGCGUCACAACAAGACUUCCACGACCUGGUCAACAGAGAGAUCGUUUCCUUCGUCGACUGUCUGGCGUCGCAGUCCCUCCGGGGAUGUUGUUACAACUACACCAUCGCUGAUUCCCUGACAGAAGAGAUCGAUCUUCGGCGAGGAAUCUACCACGUGUUCCUUUGGGACUGGAGGAAAGUGUUCCCUAGUAAACAGAUCCACGUCCAUACGUUUGAAGACUACACGAGUAAUAAAGCAAAACAUCUUGCAGAAAUCUUCAAAUUCCUGGAUUUAAAUGCUCUGUUUGAUUCCAAUCUGCACAGAAUCGCCGCAGCCAAUCAGGAACAGACUGACCAGACAAUUGGGGACAUGAUGCCGUGGACACGUUUCAUCCUGGACAGAUUCUACAAACCACAUAACCAAAAACUUGCAGCAUUGAUGGGGAAAGAUUAUUGGUGAUUUGGUAAAACGAGGAUAUUUUAUGAGAGGGGAAUGCCCGAGAAACUCUCCCUUGAGUAACUGUCCAAUAGAGAGUUACGAAGGUGAUAUUGACGUGUCGGCAAGUCUCAUAGUCCGUCGCGAGUUGAUCUCAAGAGUGCAUGGUACACGACUUUCCAAAGUUUCAUGGGGUCCUAACCGAGUCUGUUAUCAAUCGCUUGCAAUUUUAAUAAACAUGCAUAGGAAAUAAAGAACCCUGAAAAAGGAUAUAUAAUUAUGUUUUUUUAAUUGUUUUUUAUCAAUAUGUUUUGUUAUGUUUUUAUGUCUGUAGGUUCCACAACAUUGCCUACGACUUUUGAACCAUGAUACAUUAACUCCGUUUCAUUGAUGACAGACGUUACACAGUCUCGACAGCCAAAUUAAGUCCAUAUCAUAGAAAAAGUUAGUGAGUGAGUAUGGUUUUACACCUACACCGCUUUUAGCAAUA